CCUACGGGAGGCAGCAGUAGGGAAUCUUUCACAAUGGGCGAAAGCCUGAUGGAGCAACGCCGCGUGCAGGAUGAAGGCCUUCGGGUUGUAAACUGCUUUUAUAAGCGAGAAAUAUGAUGGUAACUUAUGAAUAAGGAUCGGCUAACUACGUGCCAGCAGCCGCGGUCAUACGUAGGAUCCGAGCAUUAUCCGGAGUGACUGGGUGUAAAGAGUUGCGUAGGUGGCAUAAUAAGUAGCUAGUGAAAUCUGGUGGCUCAACCAUUCAGACUAUUAGCUAAACUGUUAAGCUCGAGACCGUUAGGGGUAACUGGAAUUUCUAGUGUAGGAGUGAAAUCCGUAGAUAUUAGAAGGAACACCAAUAGCGUAGGCAGGUUGCUGGGACGGUUCUGACACUAAGGCACGAAAGCGUAGGGAGCAAACGAGAUUAGAUACCCCAGUAGUC
rnacentral:rRNA from 1 species